UUUUAUAUAGUUUAAAAUAAAACAUUACAUUUUCAAUGUAAAAAAAGUAACUGUAUACUUAUAAAAU
rnacentral:tRNA from 1 species